rnacentral:lncRNA from 1 species
CCUACGCUCACUCAUGCUCCGGAGCCCCUGCUUACCAGCCACACGGCGCUCGGGAGAGAACCUUCAUCCCAAAUGUGAGCCAAAGAUCAAGUUUAACGGUGUGGUCCCAAAUUACACAUCAUUACACGACAGGAGGCCAAAGGAGGUCUCUCCUUCCCUACCAGAAACCUCUGCUCGUCCACGCCUCUCUCUACAGGAUUAUAAACAGGUCUCGCCGCUCUGGGAAAAGGUAUGGGGUUUCCUUGAAAACUUAGAAACAGAACUACCGUAAGAUCCAGCCAUCCCACUUCUGGGAUGAAAUUUCCUUUGGAAAUGGAAACAGCUUCUCUGAGAUGUAUCUGCACUUGCCCGGUGAUUGCAGCAUUAUUUACAAGAGUCAAGACAUGGAAACCACCUGAGCGUCAAUGGAUAAAUGGACAAAGAAGGUGUGGUUUAUGCAUACAAUGGAAUAUCAUCCAGCCGCAAGGAAAAAGGAAAUCCUGCCACUUGCCACAACAGGGCUAUAAGGCGUGAUAUCACCUAUAUGUGAAAUCUAAAAAAAACAAAACAAAACAAAUUCAUAGACACAGCAUAGAGUAGUGACCACCAGGGCCUGGGAGAUGGAGGAAAUGGGGAGAUACUGGUCAAACUGUACAAACUUCCAGUUAUAAGACAGAUAAGUUCUGGGCAUCUGAUGUAUGGGAUGGUGAGCAUCUAGUUAAUGAUGCUGCAUUAUGUUCUUGAAGAUUGCUUAGAGAGUAGAUCUUAAAUGUUCUCACCACAAAAAAGAAGUGGCAAAUAUGUGAGGUGACGGAGAUGUUAGCUGGAGCUCCGGGGGCAAUCAUUUCACGAUAUGGGAGUGUCUCAACACCUAAACUCACACCAAUGUCGUAUGUUGAUUAUAUUUUGAUAAAGGCUAAAAAAAAAAAAAAAAGAAAUUGCCUAAAACAUGAUGUGCUUCUCUGGUGGCUAGAAGGGAAAUGCUCAGGGCGGAGCGAAAGGCUGUGUUGAUACAGUGUUGUGAAUUUUUAAAUAGAUUGGCAUUUUUAGGUGAUAGAAAAAGCUUUAGGGCAGCCCGGGUGGCUCAGCAGUUUAGCACCGCUGUCAGCCAGGGCCUGAUCCUGGGGACCCGGGAUCAAGUCCCACAUCAGGCUCCCUGCAUGGAGCCUGCUUCUCCCUCUGCCUGCGUCUCUGCCUCUCUCUUUCUCCUCUCUGUAUAUUCUCAUGAAUGAAUAAAUAAAAUCUUUUAAAAAAUAAAAAAAAAGCUUUAUUUACUAUGCAAUUCUUCUUUUAAUCAAAUGACAUUUGUUGGUGAGGCACUAAUGUAGUGCGUGUGUGGGUGAGCACGCGUGUGUAAUGUCUCCGGGGACAGCUUGAAUUCUCCUUCAGCCGUUGGGCUGCCCGCCCCACAGAUUUCUGAGAUUAGACCUUAAACUAUAGUUAACUAGCAAAUUAGCUUCUCUAUCUCUUGGUAACCCGCCGAAUAAGCAGGCUGCUCCAACUGUGGGCAUAUUAUGGCCGAGGGUUUAACACAGAUAAAAGGAGGGGCACCUGGGUGGCUCAGUUGUUGAGCGUCUGCCUUCGGCUCAGGUCGUGACCCCGAGGUCCUGGGAUCGAGUCCCACGUCGGGCUCCCUGCAAGGAGCCUGCUUCUCCCUCUGCCUGUGUCUCUGCCUCUCUCCCUCUCUCUCUGUGUGUUAGCAAAGACACAACCAGAGGGAGAAGCAGGCUCCCCGCAAGGACCCCAGUGCGGGACUCGAUCCUGGAUCGAUCAGGACCUGAGGUGAAGGCAGAUGCUCAACCACUGAGCCAUCCAGGCGUCCCUAAAUAUAAAUUUUAAAACUGCCUGCAGUUUUUCUGUAAGUUCGAUAUGGCUACAGAAUAAUAAUUUAAAAAAGAAAAUCAAGGCUCAAAGACUUAAAUAACCUGACCAAGGCCACGUGGAUAACAGGUGGCUGCUCCAAAUUGCAGCUUGGGGGUAUCCGAACCCCAGAUCUCCACCCUCACCCACAUGGCCCUGGAAGUCCCAGCUGCCUCCCCUGAGGCCCUGCAAGUCCACCCAAGAGGACCCCUCCUCCUGUUCCUUCACCUGCAGAACAGUCCUCCCUCACCCAAGCCAUGUUGAGGGCCUCUUGAUGGAACUGGUCCCCCACCAGCCCCAGCUCCCCC